CAGUAGCCGCGGUAAUACAGAGGGUGCGAGCGUUAAUCGGAUUUACUGGGCGUAAAGCGUGCGUAGGCGGCUUCUUAAGUCGGAUGUGAAAUCCCUGAGCUUAACUUAGGAAUUGCAUUCGAUACUGGGAAGCUAGAGUAUGGGAGAGGAUGGUAGAAUUCCAGGUGUAGCGGUGAAAUGUGUAGAGAUCUGGAGGAAUACCGAUGGCGAAGGCAGCCAUCUGGCCUAAUACUGACGCUGAUGUACGAAAGCAUGGGGAGCAAACAGGAUUAGAUACCCCCGUAGUCCCUGUCUCUUAUAC
rnacentral:rRNA from 1 species